GGCGGCCCAUCGCAACUGCCGAAAGAUUUUCCAUGGCCCAUCCCAAAUCACUCCAGCCGACCCUAGCAGUUACUCUAUGACCAGUCCCUAAGGUAUUAUUGGCACAAAAAAACUGCCACCACAGAAUGAUAUGAGAUUUUAAUUUAUGACCAAGGGUUUGCAUUUCGCAAUGUAUAUGCGGCUGUAAUUUGAUACUGUAAACAAAUAUUUUACCAGGAAUUGAUAUGGUAUGACAAUACUAGGAUCGGUGUUGUUCACAUUAUUGUCGAGGCUAAGACAAUUGGGGUCCUUUCUCCGAAAUUUAUCUCGUUUCAAAUGGCUCGUGCUCCAAAAACGAACCCGAUUGACAAAUUGGAAGAAAAUUUGCGAUGUACUGUAUGUCUCGAAGUGUUAAAAGACCCCAGAACCCUUCUUUGCUUCCACUCGUUCUGUAAAGCUUGUUUGGAAGAGGUUGUCAAGACAUGUCGUGGCAAAGCACCUCACCGAAGUCGCCGUCGACCUAUUCGAGAGUUCCCAUGUCCAAAUUGUCGUACGACGUUUGUGCUCGAUCCCGACAAACAGGUCGCCGACAUGCCAUGAAACCAUUUUAUCUGUAACAUGGUAAAAGCGACAGCCGUACUGGAUCGUGGAACCGGCGUUCCCUGCUCACAUAAUUGUAGUAAAAGCUACUCAGUUGCUCGUUGUGUCACCUGUGAAAAAUUCUUGUGCCGAGAAUGUCUGACAGACCAUAAUAAAUAUCGAGGUCACAACGGUCACUCUGUUCUAACCAUGAAAGAGUUAUCAAAGCCAGAAAAUCGUAAGAAAAUCGUACGUGGACAGAAUGUUUUGCAGUGAACAUACCGGCAAGAGACUAAAAGUUUAUUGCGAAACUUGUGACCAAUUAAUUUGUAAAGACUGCAUGGAUUUUAGACACGUCAAGCAAUUCGUGUGUUCUCGUCAAGGAUGUAGCGAACAACUAUAAGGAACUUCUUGCUUCAAAUAACAAAGCAAUGGAAGACGCUUUAACAGAAGGCAAUAAUUUUGUUCAGUUAUUAACGCUUACGAGAAAACAAGUUGAUCGUGAUGCUGAAAAUGCCAAAAAUAAUAUAUAUAUAGGCAUUGUUUCAUUAUAUCUUUAUAGCGAUGUAUUCAAUAUCCACUUCCUCUUCCGAAUAAAAACGCUAUCCAAUAUCCAUGUAAAAUAGUUACAGUGUGACAAGGAUUUGCAUAAUUACGGUAUGAAAUUGCUGUCUAAUAUAAGUCGACAAAGUCAGUGGUUUUGAUGAUUUGCGGUUAGAGGAACUAAUUUUUUUUUUUUUUUUGUUUUUGUUUUUUGUUUAUUGUUUAUUGUUUAUUGUUUUUGUUUUAUUUAUUGAUAAUUUUUGCAAAAUAAAUUAUUCAUUUUAUUUAUUUAACUAAAGGUAAAACAAUUAUGACUUUGGUAGCUAAAUACUGCAUGUUUUGAAGUUCUCACAAUUUUUGAAAAGUUGAGUAAGUAAUUAACUAGCUUACUCUGCAUGCAUAAUUCGAGUACGUACGUUUAUACAUGGGUUUAUGCCUAUAAUGUAAUGUACAUUUGUAGUAUUAGUUUUAUGUGUGUAUCUGUAUAUAUAGUUUUAUGUGUAUAUAUGUGCAUACCGAAUUUGGUAUUUAUGUGGACUAAAUAUUAUUAGUAUAAUUAAAUAGGUGAUUAUUGAAAAUUCUCCACGCUGAUUGGUUGCCGUUGAGGUGAUUAUUACGCGAUAAUCACCUAAGCGAUUUUCAAAAUGGCGGCCGAAGCCUUUUUGUCAAUUAAAUGACGAAGAAAUGUGUAUAUUUUUAUUUUUUCCAUAUAAUCACCUAUGAAAUUAUACUAAAACAAUUAUUCACCUCAGGCUCGGUG